UGGCAGUAAUAAACAUAAUUUUUUGGAGUCAGGAUAAAUUUGUGUUGAAAGAGCAUUUGAAAAUUAAUUUAUAUAUAAGGCAAAUAAUGAAUUUCUAAACCAUGGUAAUGAGAACAGAAAUGGAAAGAAGGGCAAAGAUACUAGAGAUAUUGUGAGGGUAGAAUUAGGAAAUCUUGGGCAGCAGUUAAACUGUAGUAAAUGGAAUAGAACGUGGUUUUUCUGAGGUUUCUAGUUUGGUAAAGUGUGCAUUUUGGGUUGGAGAUGCAGCCUGAUUGUGGAAUGGAGAAGCAUCACCCAGCUCACUUGCUAAAGCCAUAAACUGAUCCAAUUGCCUCCUACCUCUGUUUUCCUAAAACUGCACCUGGCAGAACUGAGAGAACAUUGUAUCCUGCUCCUUAUAAGCCAAAUGUCAGAAGCCAGCUGUGGACACAGCCAUGAUUCAAACUGCUGAUUCUCCCCAGUGUGAAAAUGAAAAUAUAGACACCUGUGGAGGAUCAGAAAAGGGAAGGAAGAACAGAGAAACCUUGAUGGCAGCUGGUUUGUGAACAGCACUCUGGAAGGCAAAGGCUUCUCAGUGUUUUGUAGGCCUCUGCCACAGAUCAGACUGUGCUUUUUGUCCUAUUUUUAAAAGCAAAGGAUUCUUCCAGAAAUAUUUCUAAUAAA